rnacentral:rRNA from 1 species
CGCCUUGCCAGCCCGCUCAGAACUCAAAGGAAUUGACGGGGGCCCGCACAAGCGGUGGAGUAUGUGGUUUAAUUCGAUGCAACGCGAAGAACCUUACCUGGUCUUGACAUCCCGGAGACCCUUAGGAAACUAGGGGGUGCUUCCAUCUGGAAGAAUCUGGAGACAGGUGCUGCAUGGCUGUCGUCAGCUCGUGUCGUGGGAUGUUGGGUUAAGUCCCGCAACGAGCGCAACCCUUGCCUUUAGUUGCCAGCAGUUCGGCUGGGCACUCUAAAGGGACUGCCGGUGUUAAACCGGAGGAAGGUGGGGAUGACGUCAAGUCCUCAUGGCCUUUAUGACCAGGGCUACACACGUACUACAAUGGCCGAUACAAAGGGCAGCGACACUGCGAGGUGAAGCCAAUCCCGUAAAAUCGGUCUCAGUCCGGAUUGGAGUCUGCAACUCGACUCCAUGAAGUUGGAAUCGCUAGUAAUCGUGGAUCAGCAUGCCACGGUGAAUACGUUCCCGGGCCUU